rnacentral:lncRNA from 1 species
UGAAUCUUUUUAGUUUUAAUAAUUUAUAAUAAUUUAGAAACUAUACUGUGAAUUGCCUUUUAUUUUAACAAGAUAAAAGCGAGUUAAAUUAAUUAAUUAACGCUGUUAUAUAUUGGGCCGUGUUGGGUUAUGAUUUGGGCCCAUAGUUUACUUAAUAACUUGCAGAAGAAUAUCGUAAUAAUUAAUAAAGCAAUUGCUAAUGAGAAUUAUGAACCCCAAUUUAUAGUGUGUGCAUUCAAUAUCUACGGCGGCCGGUGAGAGAAAUCGCAGGGAAAGCGAAAAGUCAGAGUAAGUGAGAAAGCGGUCGUCGAUAUUGAAGGUCAGCGGGGUUUUGCAAGAGUAGCGGUUGUGAGUGAUAACCUGUUAGUCUUGUUUGUCUUGAGAGUAAUAGCUCUGUUUUCAUUUCUUGCGGGAGGACCUCUACUAUUUGGUUUUCGUUGCUCGAGAUCGCACGCUACGUCCGAUGGAUAAUGUUUCUAUAGGCCGAUGACUGAUUGAGCUUGCUGCGCCUCCUCCCUCGCAGUGGUUGUUCUUAAUGCCAUCUUUGUCCAGUUGAUCUAUCCAAGAUUCCAGUGUUGCAUGCAUGCCUCUGACUUUAAUUUCUGUUGUUUUUCGUUAGAGAUACUGGAGACGGAUUUGAAUUUCUCUGCUUGUCAGUUGUCUUAUCUGUUUGGUGUUGCGAUUCUCUGGCUGUGGAUGGAUGGUUCUGCAUGCUGAGUGUGUUGGUCCGAUUGGUGACCUUGGCUUGGGUUUCGGGUUGUUCUUCAUGGGUUUUGGGCUGUUUGGGCUUGGACUUAAGCUGUAGUUGGUUGCUCUUUUUCUUGGGUUCUUGGAUUUGUUUAUCCCUCUUUUUGUAUAUAGUUUAGCCCACUAGAUCUUGAAAAUGCAAGUUUUAUUGUAUUGCAAAAAAAAAAAAAAAAAAUUUCACAAUUUAUAUAGGAAC